rnacentral:rRNA from 1 species
AGUGAACGCUGGCGGCGUGCCUAAUACAUGCAAGUCGAACGGAGUGGCGCACGGGUGAGUAAUAUAUAGCUAAUCUGCCCCUUGCUGGAGGACAACAGUCAGAAAUGACUGCUAAUACUCCAUAGCAAGGGAUGAGACUAUAUCGUAUCAGCUAGUCGGUGGGGUAACGGCCUACCGAGGCUAUGACGCGUAACUGGUCUGAGAGGAUGAUCAGUCACAUUGGAACGGAGACACGGUCCACACUCCUACGGGAGGCAGCAGUAGGGAAGAGUACGCAAUGUGGGAGACCCUGACGCAGCAACGCCGCGUGAAGGAUGACACUUUUCGGGGCGUAAACUCCUUUUGUUAGUAAAGCGGUACCUAACGAAUAAGCACCGGCUAACUCCGUGCCAGCCGCCGCGGUAAUUC